UGAGGAGUUAAUAAGCAAGUAAGAGAAGGAGCAUGUACGGACAGACAGUACGGAUAGGGCGAGCAGUACGGACGCAGGCCGUACCAACGACCAUCCGCAAGAAGUAACUCGGCCAAGGUUAAAUGUAAACUGGCUGGAGUUACUUUACCUUACUUACCUUGAGUCUGAAGUUGAGCUGAACGUUAGAAGGAUAAGGGAUGCGCAUCUGACAGCCUGUCAUAGGCUGGAAAGGUAAAGGCAUAUUCAAAGAUGCUUUACACAUGUGGAGACUCUCAUUGGAAGGAUUCAAAUGAGCUCUUAGCUGGUUAUUGACUUCACAUGCUUUCUACUUUAUGUAAUCGAAAUCCUAGUGUCUUAAGCUUCCUGUAUAAGUGUAAACUCUCUCAUUAAUAAGAUCAAGCAAGUUAUGAGUCUCUCUUAGUCUUUAUUCUCUCAAUGAUUCUAUACUAGACUCCUAAUCUCAUUUCAUACUCAAAUCUCUUCUAAAUCACUUCUAGUCUUUCUUAUUUACUCAGAUUACUCUACUCAAUCCUAAAAGUGAUAUGGUAUCAGAGCCAGGUUGAUAGGAAACUUGGUUUC
rnacentral:lncRNA from 1 species